UACGUAGGGGGCUAGCGUUGUCCGGAAUCAUUGGGCGUAAAGCGCGUGUAGGCGGUCCGGUAAGUCCGCUGUGAAAGUCGGGGGCUCAACCCUCGGAUGCCGGUGGAUACUGUCGGGCUUGAGUACGGAAGAGGCGAGUGGAAUUCCUGGUGUAGCGGUGAAAUGCGCAGAUAUCUGGAGGAACACCGGUGGCGAAGGCGGCAUCCUGGACCGACACUGACACUGAGGAGCGAAAGCCAGGGGAGCAAACGGG
rnacentral:rRNA from 1 species